rnacentral:misc_RNA from 1 species
AAGUCGUAACAAGGUUUCCGUAGGUGAACCUGCGGAAGGAUCAUUAAAGAAUUGCCCCGUUUUUCGAAGCGGGUUCUAUUCCCAAACCGUGUAUACAUACCUUUGUUGCUUUGGCAGGCCGCCUUCGGGCGUCGGCUUACGCUGACCGCGCCUGCCAGAGGACCCAAACUCUUUUGUUUAGUGAUGUCUGAGUACUAUAUAAUAGUUAAAACUUUCAACAACGGAUCUCUUGGCUCUC